rnacentral:pre_miRNA from 1 species
CCUGCAUUGUACACACUGUGUGUAAGAAUUGGAGAUGCACAGCGCAUACAAUGUGGAUA